AGAACGAACGCUGGCGGCAUGCCUAAUACAUGCAAGUCGAACGAAGGCUUCGGCCUUAGUGGCGCACGGGUGCGUAACGCGUGGGAAUCUGCCCCUUGGUUCGGAAUAACAGUUGGAAACGACUGCUAAUACCGGAUGAUGACGAAAGUCCAAAGAUUUAUCGCCCAGGGAUGAGCCCGCGUAGGAUUAGCUAGUUGGUGAGGUAAAGGCUCACCAAGGCGACGAUCCUUAGCUGGUCUGAGAGGAUGAUCAGCCACACUGGGACUGAGACACGGCCCAGACUCCUACGGGAGGCAGCAGUAGGGAAUAUUGGACAAUGGGCGCAAGCCUGAUCCAGCAAUGCCGCGUGAGUGAUGAAGGCCUUAGGGUUGUAAAGCUCUUUUACCCGAGAUGAUAAUGACAGUAUCGGAGAAUAAGCCCCGGAUAACUCCGUGCCAGCAGCCGC
rnacentral:rRNA from 1 species